rnacentral:rRNA from 1 species
GGGGAUAACCACCCGAAAGGGUGGCUAAUACCGCAUAAAUUCUGAGGAAGAAAGCUGGGGACCUGGGAAUAGGCCUAGCGCUUUUUGAGCGGCCGAUGUCGGAUUAGCUAGUUGGUGAGGUAAAGGCUCACCAAGGCGAAGAUCUGUAGCGGGUCUGAGAGGAUGAUCCGCCACACUGGGACUGAGACACGGCCCAG